UUGCUUCAGUAGCAAAUAUCCUAAAGCCGGAAUAAUAGAGAGAUUGGCAUGGCCUCUGCAAGAAUGACGUGCAGAUUUGUGAAGUGUUACGUAUGUUU
ensembl:snRNA U6 U6 spliceosomal RNA